rnacentral:lncRNA from 1 species
GUGCCCAGAGGCAUGACGGGAAGUGUGGUUUUUUUCUCCUAAUUUGAGCCCCACCUGUCCUUCCGCCGAUUGGCCCAGUGAGCUAAGAAAUCAGGAUGGGGGAGCAACUUUUGCAUUAAAUACAGCUCACAAAUGAUCUUUCCUGCCCAUUCUCAAACCAUGAAAUUUCCGCACUUCCUGAUAUAGAGGCCUCAGAAACAUCUUUGAUUCCUUUCUCCAGGGGCUUACUAAGCCCGUUGGUUCUACGUCUAUUAUUAAUUCUUUCAAUAAGUAUUUAUGAGGCCUGCUAUGUGACAGGCUCCAUACUUGGCACGGCGGAUAAAAAGAGGAAUAUGACACAGAUUGCAAAAGAGAAACAAGUAAACGGAAAUCAGAGCAUAGUGAUUGUGUAAUAUGUGUAGAGGCUGAUUUAAUCACAGGGAGCACAGAGGACGGUACCUAAAUCAGAAGGGAUCUGGGGAGGUUUCCUGGAAAAGGUUUCAACCAAAGCCAUAAAUGCUGAUGUGGAUAUCAGGACAGUGUUUCAAGCAAUUUAGAUACAAUAUAAAAUAUACUGAUGCCAUAGUAGAAGAAGUUGAAGCCACUUUGCCAAGAUAUUUGGUUCUGAUACAAAGGAAGUUUUUCUCGGCCUGGUCUUGACUUAACAGUGACUUUAGUACUAUCCUGUUCAGACACCUCAAGUCUUCAGAAGAAAGCAGAUGAUGUGAAAGUAUAUCUAGGUCCCCAAGAGAGAUGCAAAUUACCAGCUGUAUUCCCUCAUGUCAGGAAAAAGAGGGUCCCAUAUAUUUCUUGUCUAAUACAAAAUCGCAGAAGGCUGAAACACAUUAACUAGAAAAGAGAAUGCAAUUUGGAUUCAACUACCUGCUGUCAUGAAAGCUAGGUGACACUGAAGUGGUCAUUUAUAACUACGUUACUAUGGAGACAGGAAAGAUAUAUAUUUAUCCAAACCUGGGGAUGAAUUAAUCUUAAAAAGAUGAGUACAAGUACUUCAACAGAUGAGGACGAUCUGAA